GCCCGCCUAGCUCAAUAGGAUAGAGCGUCUGACUCUUAUAAUAGGCUCUUUGAUUAGGAUCUGAAGGCUGCGAAUUCGACCUUCGCGGGUGGGUU